GAGUCAAUAAGUGCAGCUCACACUCAAGGGGAGGAGGUGAUUACACAAGAAUAUGAACACCAGGGAUUAGAGAUCACUGGGGGCCGUCUUAGAAGCUGCCUACCACAGGAGAUUAACACAGUAGAACAGAGAAAGAGAGGGCUUCAAAAAUCUGGUUGAGACCAACUUGUUUAGAGACCUCUGACCUACAAGGCUAAAGAGAUUUGAUUUGAUUUUAUAAGCCAGUAUUUCUCAAACUUCACUGUGCACCUGGAGAGAUUGUUCCUAUUUAUACUUUUGAGUCCCAGCUACAAAGAUUAUGUUUCAGUCUAUCUGGGGGCAGGCCUGGGAACUUGCAUUUAUAAUAAGUGCCCAGGUGACUCUGAUGCAAGUGGUUCAAGGACAUGCUUUGAGAAAUUCUGCUGUAAGCAACAAAACUAUUAGUUUAGUACAGGGAAGAUGUGGCCAGGUUCUCCUGCCCUCACUACAGAGAAAUGGACAUUAGAUGUGGUCAAGGCAUCUCUUGAACAAUGGGUCUCAAUUCCAACUGCAUAUUUUAAUCACCUGGGGGAAGUUCUUUAAAAAUACAAAGGUCUGGAACACAUCUCCAGAGAUUUUGAUUGAAGUGGUGUGGGCAUGGAACUCUGGUUUCCCAGGUAAUUCAACCUCCAUGCCUUGCCUUCUCCCCCCUCUCCAGUCUAAGACCUUGCUAUUUCAAGUGUGGUCUCUGGCUAGACAGCAUCAGCAUCACUUGGAAUGUUGCCAGAAUGAAGAAUCUCAUGCACUGCCCUUGAACUAGUGAAUCAAAAUCUGCAUCUUAACAAAAUUCCCUGGUGGUCUUGAAGACCCUAGAAUUACUCUGAGCUAGAGUCCAGAGGUUCUCAGAGACCAAGGAUUUCCACGCAUUUGGGGGCACACAGUAAAAGUGAGAGGUCAGAGGAUCCUGCAAAUGCAUAUUUUUGAGCCAGUUACCAAGAAGAGAUUUGGGACAGAUUGGUGGCUAUGAGGUGGCGACUAAGCUCUGCUCCCUGUGUCCUCCCAUUCCAGAAUCCAGAGUAAAAGAUAAUUCACUAUUUGGGACACACUGUUUUCAUGACAGAGGAAAAAGAGCAAGAGAGCUGCUGACAGAAACUCCAGAUGCUCCUUAAAGCUUCUACUCAGUCAUGGCACACACCAUGUCCACUCACAUUCAUUACCCAAAGCCCUUCCAUGGUCAAGCCCAGAAUCAAGUGGGCAGGGACUUACCCCCCAUCCCCCACAGAAGCUACUGAAAGACACACAGCAACAGGCAGGAAUUGAUAAUCUUCUCAUAUAGAAGGGGGAAUCAUUUCAGAACAAUAAUACAACUUACCAUUCCUUUAGACUCCACCCAUGUAACUUAUAUCCAGUAUAGGGAUUUUCUCCCCAUGUCAACUAAAAAGAAAUGUGAUAUGAUUUUUUUUUUUUUGCCCUCUUAGGAUUGUUAUUAAGCCCUGUGCAACAUUUGCCAAAUCAUUCUUCAGGAUAUUACUGUCCCCUGAGAUGUUAACAGUUGUUAAGCAACUAAAAAGGAUUCCCUGGUCAAAUAAGUUUGGAAAAUGUUCUAUGUUAAUAGCCCUCUCGUAAUACUCAUAAUUCUGUAUUAUCAGAUUAAAUGUUCUCGAUGAUGCCUGCUGUAGAGAUAGCUACUUAACCCAAGAUUGGGAUCAUAGAUUUCUUUCCAGAAUGGCAGAAUCAUUAAUAUCUCAUGAGAUUCCAGUGACUAACAUUGCCCUAAAGGAUUACAGGAGAACCACCUGGAUAGAUUCUUGUUGCUUCUUCAUUUCUGUGCAUCCAGACUGAAGGACACUGAAUGAUGUUAAGAGGAGGUAUGCAUGAAGCCAACACAUCUGUACAGGACUCCUAAAGAAGGCUUGUGUUUUUGGCUAAGAUCAAACCCUGUGUGAGAAACCUGAAAAUGCUGAUUUGGAUACUACUCUUUGCCUACUGAAUUAAGUAUAAACACAUUAGACUGGCUUUUAUGUCUUCCUUCCUUUAUGUAACUAAUAUAUUUUGAGUACCCCUCUGUCCCAAGUACAAUGCCAGACAUUAAGUGCACAGUGUGAACAAAAUAAACAUGGGCCCUGUCCUCAUGGAUUUGCCAGUUUAAGAGGAAACAAACAUAAAACACACAUGAGAAUAGAUAGUUGAUGAUCAUACAACC